ensembl:lncRNA
AGACGUUGUGUGCGUGCAUUACGGUGUCUGUAACCACACCCCUUCUCCUGUUGAGGUGCUUUCCUGAUUUGCCGGCCCUGUAUUCCUAGCCUUCCCUCUGACGCUCGCCUUCGGUAUGUCCUUGUCCCUGCAUGUUCAGUGAGGAACCGUACUUCGCCGCUGACCUCGUCGUUCCUGUGAUAACCGUCUGAUAACUGCCUGAUCACAAAGGUGCUGCUGUUUUGUUUAAGCCUGACAAUGCGUGUGUGAUUCAGCAUGCUCGUGACUCUGCCAAACUGUUGUUGUGCAUGCUGGUCUGACAUAUAUCUGAGCUGGGUUUUCGUUUUCUUUGUUAUGUUCUUUUUGUCUGAGCAUUGCACCAUCUUGUCCACUCCAAUGGAGUAAUGCUUCUGUCUAGUGUGUUUUCUGUCUGCAUGUGACUGGGCAUAAGGCUGGUGGCGCUGUAGCUGUCCUGGUGCAUGCUUGUUGUUUGUUCUGGUCUGUAGUUAGCCUCGAUACAUGAUUGCUAUUACUGUCUGAGUGUUUCAUGCUUAGGAUGGACUGUUGAUAUCCCCUGGUGCAAUAAUUGUUUUCAUUUUGUUUGUUAAGCAGUUGCUAGGUGCUUCCAGAGGGAGGCUAGGCACCUGGUGGUGGGCCCCUGUCACUGCAUGCGGGUGUAUCAAGCUGGUUAGUGUGCUGUGGGUGUGCCGUGAUUGUGCUGUGUGUGC